rnacentral:tRNA from 1 species
UUAAUUGAAACCAAAAUAGAGGUGUACCACUGUUAAUGGUAAAAUUGAUUUAAAUCCAAUUAAG